rnacentral:lncRNA from 1 species
AUGGCACGGGGCCCUGUGGUGUCUAAGGAAGGCCAGCCUGCUGCUUGGUGGUGGAGGGGUGGACGCGGCCUCAUGGCCUUCGGGUCUGAGGUCUGUGGGCGGGGGCUGGGGUCCUGGGCAGCCGUUCGGGGCAGGCUGGAGUUCACCUCGUACCUGAGUGAGCCCUGGCUCUGCCCCCUGAUGCCCCCCGACCUCCUGCUGCCAGGGGCCAGGGGGCAGGCCAAGCGCCGACUCCUAGACAAGGUUUCCUUGAGGCCCCUGCCCGGCCUGUGUGUUGGCCCCCGGGCUCUUGCCCCCGGCGGGAGCACGCCCUGCCCGUCGGGUCCAGUCUCCGGGUCGGGCAGGGUCCCAGAGCGGCUCCUCCUAGCAGGGCCCGCUCUCCCUGGCCCACCCCCUCCUCCGGGCAGCCCCGCGGUCAGCAUCCUGCAGGAAGCCCAGGGCGUGGACUGGCUGCUCCCUGCUCUGGGUCCCUGGAACGAGUGGAAUGUGGGCAGGGCCCUGGUGGGCUGCAGCCCUUCCGGCCGCCUCCCUCUGGGGCCCCCCCAGGCCGGUCGUCCAGCUGUUGGGCCGCCCGCGUCUGCUUGGGCGGCUGGAGCGGGCGCUGGUGCUGAGCGGGCGGGGAGGGAGCUGGCGCGGGGAGGGAGGCCGGUGCCAGCAGCCGUCAGCUGGGCUUCCGGGAGCAACAGGAGCCGGGAGCCUGGGAAGGGGCUGGUUUCCCGGGAGCGCCGCCGCCAUCUCAGUGAGCGCUUUUUUUUUUUUUUUUUUACAACCCAUUUCACAGCUUCCAGAACGGGAGGCCGCUGUCUCCCUGGCUCACUUAACUCAAAACAAAUGCCUGUCACCGCGCCCGGCUCCCGCCACCCUCCAGCUCACGCUGGCGUCCCCACGUGGAGCCGGGACCUGGUGGGCGAGCCGGCCUCCUGCACGUCCCGGCGCCCAGACCUGGCCUCUGGUGGGUCUCCUGGGGACACCUGGCGGGGGCCUGCCGGACGGGGUGGGGGGCUCCGUCUGUGUCUCAGCCCCAGUGGCGCUCAGCACCCGCGGGCCGCCCCACACCUGUUGCUGGGCCACGCGGCGACGCCUGUGUGUGCCGUGCACACAGAGGCCCCUGGGUGUCAGGACCGGGCCCAGCUCCGCCCAGCUGUGCUCCUCGCUGUCCGUGGUGAGGCUGCAGCCUGGCUCCCUGUGCGAGGCCUCGGGCCUUGGGCUGUGGCCACAGACUGGCCUCCCCGCGAUGGGGCCUGCACCUGCCAAGCAGGGCCACCUGGGGGGUGUCGGUCACCCUCCCAGCGUGCUGGCUUCCGGAACAUUUUCUCAGCCAGCCUAGUGCCUGGGCCAGGGCUCUGUGGUGUCCUGGGCAGAGCUGAGGUGGCCCUGGAGCUGGGACCGGAGCCUGCCCUGUCUCGGCAGCGGGGGCGGCUGGCUGGGGACUGGUGCCCAGCACGGAACGGCCUGUCGGGCAGCAGUGACCCGCCCAGCGUCAGGUCCCUGUCCUGGGAAAAUUCUGGACGUGCUGCCAGUCUGGGAUGGCGAGUAGGGCAGUGGCGGCCGGGGCUGGCUUCACGGUGGGGCCCCGGUGCCCACGGCUGGGGCUCCCUCAAACCCCCACCCACCCUCGUGCCCCGUCCCCGGCUCGUCACGUCAACCUGGGGUCCUGGUGGCGUCCAGUCCGGGGGGGCCGGCGGCCUCUGCCCUGCAUGGGGCUGCCCGCUGCCCCUCCUGAGCCGCGGUAACCACGGCACCCAGCAGGCAAGCGCCUUGCCAAGAGGAAAGAGCCUUCGGCCUAGUUCCCGGCCGGACUUGGCCCGCGUGGCUCUGGCCCUGGCCGGGGCCCAGGCUGUGCCCCGCUCCCAGGCAGCCGCCGCACCAGCUCUGGGGUUGGGGGCUGGGGGGGGCGGGGGGCCGUGGCUCCAACCUCAAGGUCGGGGUGACAGCAGGGCAGGGAUG